UACGGAGGGUGCGAGCGUUGUCCGGAAUCACUGGGCGUAAAGGGCGCGUAGGCGGCUUCUCAAGCGCGCGGUGAAAGCCCGGGGCUCAACCCCGGGUCGGCCGUGCGGACUGGGGGGCUCGAGCACUGUAGGGGCGGGUGGAAUUCCGGGUGUAGCGGUGGAAUGCGUAGAGAUCCGGAAGAACACCGGUGGCGAAGGCGGCCCGCUGGGCAGGAAGAGAGCGCAAGCUCUCGGCUGACGCUGAGGCGCGACAGCGUGGGGAGCAAACAGG
rnacentral:rRNA from 2 species